UACAGAGGUCUCAAGCGUUGUUCGGAUUCAUUGGGCGUAAAGGGUGCGUAGGCGGCGCGGUAAGUCGGGUGUGAAAUCUUGGAGCUUAACUCCGAAACUGCAUUCGAUACUGCCGUGCUUGAGGACUGGAGAGGAGACUGGAAUUUACGGUGUAGCGGUGAAAUGCGUAGAUAUCGUAAGGAAGACCAGUGGCGAAGGCGGGUCUCUGGACAGUUCCUGACGCUGAGGCACGAAGGCCCAGGGGGAGCAAACGGGG
rnacentral:rRNA from 1 species